rnacentral:rRNA from 1 species
CCUACGGGAGGCAGCAGUCGGGAAUUUUGGGCAAUGGGCGAAAGCCUGACCCAGCAACGCCGCGUGAAGGAUGAAGUUUUUCGGAAUGUAAACUUCACAAGAAUGGGAAGAAUAAGCUCAGGCUAAUACCUUGAGCGAUGACGGUACCAUUUGUAAGCUCCGGCUAACUCCGUGCCAGCAGCCGCGGUAAUACGGGGGGAGCAAGCGUUGUUCGGAUUUACUGGGCGUAAAGGGCGCGUAGGCGGUGCGACAAGUCACUUGUGAAAUCUCCGGGCUCAACUCGGAACGGCCAAGUGAUACUGUCGCGCUAGAGUGCGGAAGGGGCAACUGGAAUUCUCGGUGUAGCGGUGAAAUGCGUAGAUAUCGAGAGGAACACCUGAGGCGAAGGCGGGUUGCUGGGCCGACACUGACGCUGAGGCGCGAAAGCUAGGGGAGCGAACGGGAUUAGAUACCCCGGUAGUCCUAGCCUUAAACGAUGGAUGCUUGGUGUCCGGGGUUUGAUAGUCCCCGGGUGCCGUCGCUAACGCGUUAAGCAUCCCGCCUGGGGAGUACGGUCGCAAGACUGAAACUCAAAGGAAUUGACGGGGACCCGCACAAGCGGUGGAGCAUGUGGUUUAAUUCGACGCAACGCGAAGAACCUUACCUAGCCUAGAAUGCCUCUGACCGCCACAGAGAUGUGGCUUCUCGGGGAACCCGAGCAGAGUGCAAGGUGCUGCAUGGCUGUCGUCAGCUCGUGUCGUGAGAUGUUGGGUUAAGUCCCGCAACGAGCGCAACCCUUAUCAACAGUUGCCAUCGGGUAAUGCCGGGAACUCUGUUGAGACUGCCGUUGAUAAAACGGAGGAAGGUGGGGAUGACGUCAAGUCCUCAUGGGCCUUUAUGGCUAGGGCUACACACGUGCUACAAUGGCAAGUACAAACCGCUGCAAACUCGCGAGAGUGAGCCAAUCGGAAAAGCUUGUCUCAGUUUCGGAUGAGUCUGCACUCGACUCCAUGAGCUGAUCGCUAGUAUCGCAGAUCAGACGCCGCGUGAAUACGUCCCGGG